AAAAACGUAUGAGUAUGUGAAAGAGAUACAUUUGUCAACAAAGAAAUAAAUUUUAUCCCUACAUCACAUGUAUUUAUUUUAGGAUUAGAAAGAAAGAAAAUACUGGUAACUGAUAAGAAAAGAAGCAAAAGAUUGUGCUAGAAUAAUUCUGAAUAGAGUGAAUAUGAUUACAAUGCGAAAUCAUAAAGAAGCUAUAAUUGAUGAAUUAUUAACUAUUGGAGCUGAUGAUGUCAUUUUGAAAUGUUAUCAUACAACAAUAAUAU